ncrna:unclassified sequences malK-I RNA
UCAAUCCGUCCUACGGCACUCCACUUUAUGCCUGGGAGGGGUCAAAGAAAGGAGAAAUCCGCUUUGUUCAGCGGUGCGGCAGUGUGGAGACCUGCCGUAAAGUCCGGGAGAUACAGCUGCUCCCGGGCGAGACGGGGACGCGAAGGCGGAACCGUUAUGGGCAAGCAAGAUGGCA